rnacentral:rRNA from 1 species
CAGCCCUUGACAUGUCCUCUAUGGAUUCCAGAGACGGAGUCCUUCACUUCGGGUGGGAGGAACACAGGUGCUGCAUGGCUGUCGUCAGCUCGUGUCGUGAGAUGUUGGGUUAAGUCCCGCAACGAGCGCAACCCUCGCCCUUAGUUGCCAUCAUUUAGUUGGGCACUCUAAGGGGACUGCCGGUGAUAAGCCGGAGGAAGGUGGGGAUGACGUCAAGUCCUCAUGGCCCUUACGGGCUGGGCUACACACGUGCUACAAUGGCGGUGACAGAGGGAUGCAAAGGGGCGACCCUUCGCAAAUCUCAAAAAUCCGUCUCAGUUCGGAUUGGGGUCUGCAACUCGAGUGCAUGAAGUCGGAAUCGCUAGUAAUCGCGGAUCAGCACGCCGCGGUGAAUACGUUCCCGGGCCUUGUACACACCGCCCGUCACACCAUGGGAGUUGGUUCGACCCGAAGACGGUGCGCCAACCGCAAGGAGGCAGCCGGCCACGGUCGGGUCAGCGACUGGGGUG